GAUGAAGAACGUAGCGAAAUGCGAUAAGUAAUGUGAAUUGCAGAAUUCAGUGAAUCAUCGAAUCUUUGAACGCAUCUUGCGCUCCUUGGUAUUCUGAGGAGCAUGCCUGUUUGAGUGUCAUUAAAGUUCUCAACCACAUUACUACAUAUGUGGCUUGGAUGUGGGGGUUUGCAGGCUUUCUCUGAGGGUCUGCUCCUCUGAAAUGCAUUAGUGGUAUUCCUGAGCUUUACUACAGAUGUGAUAAUUUAUCUACAUCCCAAAAGUAUGCUUCAGCAACACCGCUCCUAACAAGCGAAAGCACAUUUUGAUGAAUUUGACCUCAAAUCAGGUAGGACUACCCGCUGAACUUAAGCAUAUCAAUAAGCGGAGGA
rnacentral:misc_RNA from 1 species